GGUCGGGUUUUGCUUAGGCAAGAAAAGCGGAGAGGAUCCCCACGAAAAUUCUGAAACCGGGGGAUCUCGGCGCGCAUUUUACUUCACCUAAGCGGCUGGCUUGGCUCCCUCUUUUUUUUCUCUCUCCCUCUCUACCGGCUGCCAUGCUGGGUGAAAAACUCUAAGGACCUACUAGGCGGGUCGGGUUUUGCUUAGGCAAGAAAAGCGGAGAGGAUCCCCACGAAAAUUCUGAAACCGGGGGAUCUCGACACGCAUUUUACUUGACCUAAGCGGCUGGCUUGGCUCCCUCUUUUUUUUCUCUCUCCCUCUCUACAGGCUGCCAUGUUGGGUGAGAAACUCUAAGGACCUACUAGGCGGGUCGGGUUUUGCUUAGGCAAGAAAAGCGGAGAGGAUCCCCACGAAAAUUCUGAAACCGGGGGAUCUCGGCGCGCAUUUUACUUGACCUAAAGCGGCUGGCUUGGCUCCCUCUUUUUUUUCUCUCUCCAUCUCUACCGGCUGCCAUGCUGGGUGAAAAACUCUAAGGACCUACUAGGCGGGUCGGGUUUUGCUUAGGCAAGAAAAGCGGAGAGGAUCCCCACGAAAAUUCUGAAAACCGGGGAUCUCGGCGCGCAUUUUACUUGACCUAAGCGGCUGGCUUGGCUCCCUCUUUUUUUUCUCUCUCCCUCUCUCUACCGGCUGCCAUGCUGGGUGAAAAACUCUAAGGACCUACUAGGCGGGUCGGGUUUUGCUUAGGCAAGAAAAGCGGAGAGGAUCCCCACGAAAAUUCUGAAACCGGGGGAUCUCGGCGCGCAUUUUACUUGACCUAAGCGGCUGGCUUGGUUCCCUCUUUUUUUUUUCUCUCCCUCUCUACCGGCUGCCAUGAUGGGUGAAGAACUCUAAGAACCUACUAGGCGGGGUCGGGUUUUGCUUAGGCAAGAAAAGCGGAGAGGAUCCCCACGAAAAUUCUGAAACCGGGGGAUCUCGGCGCGCAUUUUACUUGACCUAAAGCGCGCUGGCUUGGCUCCCUCUUUUUUUUCUCUCUCCCUCUCUAACCGGCUGCCAUGCUGGGUGAAAAACUCUAAGGACCUACUAGGCGGGGUCGGGUUUUGCUUAGGCAAAGAAAAGCGGAGAGGAUCCCCACGAAAAUUCUGAAACCGGGGGAUCUCGGCGCGCAUUUUACUUGACCUAAGCGGCUGGCUUGGUUCCCUCUUUUUUUUCUCUCUCCCUCUCUACCGGCUGCCAUGCUGGGUGAAAAACUCUAAGGACCUACUAGGCGGGUCGGGUUUU
rnacentral:lncRNA from 1 species